AAGUCGUAACAAGGUUUCCGUAGGUGAACCUGCGGAAGGAUCAUUAACGAAUAACUAUGGUGUUGGUUGUAGCUGGCUCCUCGGAGCAAUUGUGCACGCCCGCCAUUUUUAUCUUUCCACCUGUGCACCGACUGUAGGUCUGGAUACCUCUCGCCUCCUCCGGGAGGCGGAUGCGGGGAUUGCUCGCAAGGGCUCUCCUCGAACUUCCAGGCUCUACGUCUUUUUACACACCCCAAUAGUAUGAUCCAGAAUGAUAGUCAAUGGGCUUUCAUAGCCUAUAAAACACUAUACAACUUUCAGCAACGGAUCUCUUGGCUCUC
rnacentral:misc_RNA from 1 species